rnacentral:rRNA from 1 species
UACAGAGGUCUCAAGCGUUGUUCGGAUUCAUUGGGCGUAAAGGGCGCGUAGGCGGUGGGGUAAGUCUGGUGUGAAAUCUCGGAGCUCAACUUCGAAAUUGCACUGGAUACUGCUCUGCUAGAGGGCUGGAGAGGAGAUCGGAAUUCACGGUGUAGCAGUGAAAUGCGUAGAUAUCGUGAGGAAGACCAGUGGCGAAGGCGGAUCUCUGGACAGCUCCUGACGCUGAGGCACGAAGGCCAGGGGAGCAAACGGG